AUUGAACGCUGGCGGCAUGCCUUACACAUGCAAGUCGAACGGCAGCACGGGUGCUUGCACCUGGUGUCGAGUGGCGAACGGGUGAGUAAUACAUCGGAACAUGUCCUGUAGUGGGGGAUAGCCCGGCGAAAGCCGGAUUAAUACCGCAUACGAUCUACGGAUGAAAGCGGGGGACCUUCGGGCCUCGCGCUAUAGGGUUGGCCGAUGGCGGAUUAGCUAGUUGGUGGGGUAAAGGCCUACCAAGGCGACGAUCAGUAGCUGGUCUGAGAGGACGACCAGCCACACUGGGACUGAGACACGGCCCAGACUCCUACGGGAGGCAGCAGUGGGGAAUUUUGGACAAUGGGCGAAAGCCUGAUCCAGCAAUGCCGCGUGUGUGAAGAAGGCCUUCGGGUUGUAAAGCACUUUUGUCCGGAAAGAAAUCCUUGGCUCUAAUACAGUCGGGGGAUGACGGUACCGGAAGAAUAAGCACCGGCUAACUACGUG
rnacentral:rRNA from 1 species